rnacentral:lncRNA from 1 species
GCCAACUUAUUCACUCUCAGUGAAGAAGAAGAAGAAGAAGAAGACUAUAGGGGGCGAUAUCGGACCGAUUGGGCUUUAGCAUUUCCAAAUUUCCCAGUCGCCUUGAACUAAUUGUCGAAAAUCGGCUUCAGCUGACGUAACACCGCCUAUAAAUGACUUUGCGGAACACGUCUUUUUUCUUUCACUGCUGUUCUCUAUCGGGUCUAGGUGACGGAGUCCCUACAACACGACAGCAGCUCUGUUUUGGAGGCAUGGGAGCAUGAUAUUCAACCUUCCCCUCCAGAAUGUCAUAUGCAGGUGUUGGUCGAUCUUUAGAUCUGCUUGGUUCUCAUGGCCAUGGCCUGUGGUGUUACAGUGUUUCAGCUGCAGUGGAUGACCUAAGGUGUCAGGUGGAACAGCAGAAUCCUGACCUGCUUGGAGACCUGAUAUAAUCAGAUUGAUGCAGAUCCAAAGUAGGAGUUUGUACUGAUCUGCUGUGGCCAUCUUUAGCACGAGAUGCUAAACUCUACAAAUGACAAUUUGGUAAGUUUGUGUUAUGGUUUGUUUAUAGAUGGAAUACAGCAGGAAUCUAAUAGUUUCACUAGUUUGUAUCAACAAAAUUAAUUUUAGUUGCUGGUAGCUUUAAAUAAACGGCUUGAGUAGAGUAGCCA